GGAGGGAUCAUUGAAACCGAUCAAUCCACUCACAGAGCACCAGCGGGGUUCGCCCCGCCGUAGUUUUGGAUCCGCCGGUCCUCGCGGGCCGGUUGGAGCCUCCAACCCAGCAAACCCUCUGCCCUGAAGCAGCUUCGCACGGGGACACCCCCUGCGACGUUAACCAGAGACAACUCUCAACAACGGAUAUCUAGGCUCUCGCAACGAUGAAGAACGCAGCGAAAUGCGAUACGUAGUGUGAAUUGCAGAAUUCCGUGAGUCAUCGAAUCUUUGAACGCACAUUGCCGGUCGACUCUUCGGAGGAGACCACAUCUGCCUCAGCGUCGGAAUACCCCCUCACCCGUGCGGACAUGCGUGUCCGCACAGUGGAACUGGCCCCCCCGGGCGCGACCUCGUCGCCCGGGCCGGCUGAAAUGCAGAGGCUCGCGCGCGGCCCACUCGUGGCCCCGACUAGGUAGGUAGCUCGCUACUGCUAGGCGGCGGCUCGGCGCUCGCGUGCUGUGGGCCCGAAAGGAUAACCCCUCAUUCAUUCGACCUGAGUUCAGGUGAGGCUACCCGCUGAACUUAAGCAUA
rnacentral:rRNA from 1 species